rnacentral:rRNA from 1 species
ACCCUCGGGUGACAGGGAGACAGGUGGUGCAUGGUUGUCGUCAGCUCGUGUCGUGAGAUGUUGGGUUAAGUCCCGCAACGAGCGCAACCCCACGUUUAGUUGCUAACAGGUGAAGCUGAGCACUCUAGACGAACUGCCGUUGACAAAACGGAGGAAGGUGGGGACGACGUCAAAUCAUCAUGCCCUUUAUGUCCUGGGCUACACACGUACUACAAUGGCCGUUACAACGGGAAGCGAAGGAGCAAUCCGGAGCAAAUCCCUUAAAGGCGGUCCCAGUUCAGAUUGUGGGCUGAAACUCGCCCACAUGAAGGCGGAAUUGCUAGUAAUUGCAGAUCAGCAUGCUGCCAGUCGAAUACGUUCCCGGGCCUU